ACAAGUCACAUAAACUCAUCUCAAAUACCAAGGCCAAUCCAAUAGUCACAACAAAUAUAACUUUAUACAAUUCGCUGAGGCGUGCAACUCGAUCACACCAUAUCAUCAUCUGUCAAUAUCAUAAUCCCUCCUUAUUCUGCCAUUUCAAUUCAUUACCAUUCAAUUUCCGUUACGAUGUACAACCCGCUCCCCAAACAAUUUCAAUCAACAAUAACAAUUCAACAACCAAAAUUUAUAAGAAGUUCUACAUCAAAAGAGUAAAUGUACAAAGAAAUGGAGAAUAACAUAAUAAUCAAAGAAUCUCGAACAAAUCGAAUGUCUCAACUUUACCACUCCACUAUACCUAUCCAUUUAACAACUCAUACAAAUGAAACUACAUAAUUGAAGGCAAGAAAUGUUACGAAACUAUAAGACAAGAAAGACAUAAGACAAUCUAGAUAAGCAAGAAAAGCAAGUAGAGACAAGUAGCAAAUAAGUAUGAAAUUACGGAAGCGGCGGACAACAUAAUAUAAGGAUAGCUAAAUGACAAGUAACAAUUAUGGAAUGGAAGUCAAAUAAGCAUGUAGAUAUUAAGGCAUGUAACAAGAUAUUCUAUGAUGUAACAGAAAUAUGGAGCAGGUCACACAACGACGCCACUCGUCACCUUGCAUAUACGCCGUGUCACACGUAAUUCAAAUAACAUAAAUUUCAAGGGUCCCUAAUUCAUUCAAAUCAAGGUUAGACCUAACACUUACCUCACUCCACAACUUAAUCGAUCGAUCUAUCAUGGCCUUGCCAUUUGAACAAGACUCCAAACCAAUCAAAUCUAGCAAUUUACUAACUAGAUGAUUCAAAAUAAGCCUUAGAAACUACUCACGGAUAAAAGAGGUUCGAUUUAGGUCAUUUUUGAAAAAGUCAAUCCGGGCCCGCUUCGUCAAAAUCGAGAUUCAGACCAAAACCCAAUUAUCCAUUCACCCCCGAGCUCGGUUAUGUGAUUUGUUUUGAAUACGACCCUAAUUCGAGAACUAAAUCUCAAUUUAAUAAAAAUCCCUAAUUUUACCCAAAUCCUUAAUUUCUACCAUGAAAAUCCUAAAUUUGAUGUUGAAAUCUCAUGAAAUGUAAUGGGUAAUUGAAAAGAAAUUGAUUAAAGUCACUUACCAAUGAAUUUAGGAAGAAACGCCUCUUGGAAAAUAGCUUCUAGGGUGUUUAGGGUUGAGAGAUUGUGAGAAAUGAGCUAAGUCCCAUUUUUCUCCUUUUUUACCCAGCUGCGGAUGUUGCAAUUGCAAUUGUCACACCUCCUUUUUCACGGCCCGGAAGGGAUAUAAGGGAGUUUUUCCAAUUUAAGUGACAAUCAAAACGGAAUUAUUUAUAUUAAAAUCAGAGUCGCCACAUCGGAUAAUUUAUGGUGUCCCAAGUCACCGGUUUAAAAUCCCGAAUCGAGGAAGGUUGACUCUUAUUUAUGGUCUACGAACAUAGAAAUUCGGGAAAGGAAUUCUGUUAACCCAGGAGAAGGUGUUAGGCAUUCCCGGGAUCUGUGAUAUCAGCACGGUCGCUUUGAUCCUACUUGGCUUAAUCAAAUUAUCUUAUUACUCAUUUUAGAACCUAUGUGCGUUUACCUCUUAAUUAAGAAAUUAUCUUAAACUAGGUCCCGCGCACAUGUACCCAUUUAUUUGGUGCGUCAAAAAUCAUGUCACGCGAACGUGUCCACAAUUAAUAACGCUUUGUUAAUAUUAAGAAAUUUUAGUCAAAGUUGCGUAAACUCAUACUCCGAUUUUAUUUUUAAAAAUGUAAUUAUGUCACACGAACGUGUACAAAAUAUUAUCAAAACUUAUGGUGAGUUUAGCCAGGUCAUGCCGAAAACUAUCCAUGUACAGGAGAAAAGAGCACAUUCUGGAGUAUAAUUCGCCUCCAGCAAAUUUAUGAUUUGAGGAAUCCUUGCCAGACCAUUCUAACAUCAAUAAAUCAUCAAAGAUCCAAAUUUAAAAAGUAUCUCAUGGAGGCCAUAAUUUGCCCUCUUAAGCUACUGAAAAUUACUCUGCAGUAGAACCCACAGAAAAACAAGUAUAGAAGACAUUGUACAAUUCACGAUUAGUUAAUAAAUGAUAACAUUAUUUUUCUUAUCCUUUAAAGAAAAAUAUCUUUUGACUCAAUUAUAUGAAUUUAAGCAUAAUCAGAUGCUUGCCAAAACUGAAAAAUGACAUUUGAAGACCUUAUAUUAUCCGGAUGAUUAAAACAUAUGGACUGUGACUACGUAGAGAAAUCAACAAGGAACCUAGUAUUGACCUAGGCAUGUGCACUUGAAUGUAAUAGAACAUGAAGAUUUUUACCUUAAUGAAAAUUUAUAAUAAAUUAUCCAAACAAAAGAGAACAAGCUAAGGCUAUCACAAUAAUCUGAACAAAUUCCAAAAUAAAGAAAGAACAUUUGAAGACUUUAGGAAAAACUUAAGACCAUUCCAAACCACAAAAUCGACUCUUAACAUUAGCAAUUUUCCUUAACAAGAAAAACAAUAGUAAAAUAGAAAUAAAAUUCAAAAAAACAAAACUUCUGCAACUUACUAAAUCUUAGAGGAAAGGAGAGAAAACAGCACAUGGGAGAACCUAAAUGUCAUUUCAAAUCACAAAAUUGAAGUAAAAAUUAAAUUGAAAGCACUCAAAUCAAGGGAAAGAGUGAAAGCAGGGAAAGAAAAAUCAUAUUAACCCAUACUAUCUUUCGAGUUUAAGUGCACAGUCCCAGACCAAUUUCAUCAAUUAAAGACAAAAUCCAAUAACCCAAUAGAUUGAAAUUAUUGGUAAACUAUCUUUCUCUUAAUCAAGCCUAAUGAAUAUUGAUUAACGAACCCACAGUAAUUUCUAAAGCCAUUCAAAAAGAAACAAAGCAAUAUGAACAUCAACAUGAAUAAAUACUGACCAUUUCAAACAUUCAUGUACCACACAACUCCGUUUCAUCAAAAUUUACUGCACAGAAUUGAGAAGAAAGACGAGAGUAAGAAUCUGACCUCAAUUAUAUUAACAAGAAUUCAAUUACAACAAACUCUGACAAACUAAAUCUGGCCGGAAGAAGCAACAAUAGCAGGAGCUCGGACCGCAAACGGAGCUUCGACGGUGAACCUCGAGCAGAGCCCAAACCUCACGGCAAAACUAACUAUGAAAAUGCCUGCAACCUAGAACUGGUAUUUAGUGUUUGAAUAUAGGUUGCCUUUGCUGUAGCCCAGAACUGGUGUUUGACGUUGAAGCUCCGAAAUGGAGUUCUACCGGUGGAAAUGGCAAAGUUACUCAGAAAGGGUGGGGAGAUGGGCCUGAUGGCUGAGGAAGAUGGGUCGUUUGGGGUAAGGUGAAGGAUUGACGGAUCAGUGGUGAAGAGAUGUGGCUGGAGAUCUUAGGGGUGUUCAAGGUUUUCUGGUUUUGGGUGUGAAAGGUGAAGAAAAAGACGUCUGGGGGGGGGGGUCUAUGAAAAACGGCGGAUCCAGGUCUCUCUCGCAUCUAGGUCUAGGAAAUUAGGUCCUCUUAUGCUU
rnacentral:lncRNA from 1 species